AGAGUUUGAUCCUGGCUCAGAACGAACGCUGGCGGCAUGCCUAAUACAUGCAAGUCGAACGAGAUCUUCGGAUCUAGUGGCGCACGGGUGCGUAACGCGUGGGAAUCUGCCCUUGGGUUCGGAAUAACGUCGGGAAACUGACGCUAAUACCGGAUGAUGACGAAAGUCCAAAGAUUUAUCGCCCAGGGAUGAGCCCGCGUAGGAUUAGCUAGUUGGUGGGGUAAAGGCCUACCAAGGCGACGAUCCUUAGCUGGUCUGAGAGGAUGAUCAGCCACACUGGGACUGAGACACGGCCCAGACUCCUACGGGAGGCAGCAGUAGGGAAUAUUGGACAAUGGGGGCAACCCUGAUCCAGCAAUGCCGCGUGAGUGAUGAAGGCCUUAGGGUUGUAAAGCUCUUUUACCAGAGAUGAUAAUGACAGUAUCUGGGGAAUAAGCCCCGGCUAACUCCGUG
rnacentral:rRNA from 1 species